AAUGCAGAAGCAUCCAAAGUCUUAUGCAAUGGGUUUUUAUUCAGUUUUCUAAUUUUUCUUUUGCCAUCUUUAUUUAGGAUUCUUGUCCACUAAGUCUUGCUAGAUUACUUUUUGUUUUCAGUCAAUGAAGCUAGGAUUUAUCCUAACUAGUAUAAAUAGGGUUGCUGGUAGACAAAUUAGUAUAUAUCUUUUUCUUUUGUACCAACCACAAUCAACCCUAUUUUAG
rnacentral:misc_RNA from 1 species